GAGCUUGGAGCUUGGAGCUUGGAUGAGAGCUACUUGGGCAAUUCAUAGGGCAUCUUUAAGUCUCGAGGUUGAGCAAAAGUGCAUUUGGCACGUAAAUCGAGGACGGGCACGCAUCUCGAGGAAUCUCAAAAAAUAGUCCAAGGUUCGACCAGCAGCGCAAAAGGAAAAGAAAUAGCGGAAGGGUAGAUUUAUGUUGCCGCAUGUGGCACACUUAUCAUGUCUUUUAUUAUGUAUGAUGUAUUAAAUGAUGUAAACCCUAGCAUGUUUUGAUUAUAUUUGAGGCAUUCAGUUAAUGUAUUGGGAGACAUCAUCAUGUAUUUCGUUUGGAGAACUUUUGGAACGAUUUCAUAUAUUAAGUGAUGUAAUAUGUUUAUGCACUAUAUCAGGUUCGAUCAGUCUUUCGUAGUCGCUAUUUUAUUGCCUGUCUUAACUGUCUAUUUAUUGAAUUUGUUAAGUUGAGAAGGCAAGGCUUGGAAUUUGGGAUUUUAUGGUUCUUAGAAAU